GACGUUGGGAAAGCGAGCGGCGGAUGAGUGAGUAACACGUGGGGAACCUGCCCCUAAGUCUGGGAUACCAUUUGGAAACAGGUGCUAAUACCGGAUAAUAAAGCAGAUCGCAUGAUCAGCUUUUGAAAGGCGGCGUAAGCUGUCGCUAAGGGAUGGCCCCGCGGUGCAUUAGCUAGUUGGUAAGGUAACGGCUUACCAAGGCGACGAUGCAUAGCCGAGUUGAGAGACUGAUCGGCCACAUUGGGACUGAGACACGGCCCAAACUCCUACGGGAGGCAGCAGUAGGGAAUCUUCCACAAUGGGCGCAAGUCUGAUGGAGCAACGCCGCGUGAGUGAAGAAGGUUUUCGGAUCGUAAAGCUCUGUUGUUGGUGAAGAAGGAUAGAGGUAGUAACUGGCCUUUAUUUGACGGUAAUCAACCAGAAAGUCACGGCUAACUACGUGCCAGCAGCCGCGGUAAUACGUAGGUGGCAAGCGUUGUCCGGAUUUAUUGGGCGUAAAGCGAGCGCAGGCGGAAAAAUAAGUCUAAUGUGAAAGCCCUCGGCUUAACCGAGGAACUGCAUCGGAAACUGUUUUUCUUGAGUGCAGAAGAGGAGAGUGGAACUCCAUGUGUAGCGGUGGAAUGCGUAGAUAUAUGGAAGAACACCAGUGGCGAAGGCGGCUCUCUGGUCUGCAACUGACGCUGAGGCUCGAAAGCAUGGGUAGCGAACAGGAUUAGAUACCCUGGUAGUCCAUGCCGUAAACGAUGAGUGCUAAGUGUUGGGAGGUUUCCGCCUCUCAGUGCUGCAGCUAACGCAUUAAGCACUCCGCCUGGGGAGUACGACCGCAAGGUUGAAACUCAAAGGAAUUGACGGGGGGCCCGCACCAAGCGGUGGAGCAUGUGG
rnacentral:rRNA from 1 species